AGAUUUUAAGUUAAUAAAAAACUAUUUACCUUCAAAGUAAAAAUUAUUGUAAAUAAAUCUU
rnacentral:tRNA from 1 species